rnacentral:rRNA from 1 species
GAUGAACGCUCGCGGGAGGCCUAACACAUGCAAGCCGAGCGGUAUGGGUAGCUUGCUCCCCAGAGAGCGGCGUACGGGUGCGUAACACGUGUGCAACCUGCCCCUAUCCGGGGGAUAGCCCUCCGAAAGGAGGAUUAAUACCCCAUAAUAUAUCUGGUGGCAUCACUAGAUAUUGAAAACCCCGGUGGAUAGGGAUGGGCACGCGCAAGAUUAGAUAGUUGGCGGGGUAACGGCCCACCAAGUCGAUGAUCUUUAGGGGUCCUGAGAGGGAGAUCCCCCACACUGGUACUGAGACACGGACCAGACUCCUACGGGAGGCAGCAGUGAGGAAUAUUGGACAAUGGGUGGAAGCCUGAUCCAGCCAUCCCGCGUGAGGGACGACGGCCCUAUGGGUUGUAAACCUCUUUUGUACGGGGAUAAACCUAUCUACGUGUAGAUAGCUGAAGGUACCGUACGAAUAAGCACCGGCUAACUCCGUG